rnacentral:lncRNA from 1 species
AGCUCUCUGCUUGUCCUGAAGGGCAUCUUCCUCCCAGGUGUGCUGUGCCUGGAGGUGGGGCUGGGACAGGUUGGAUGGGAAUGUGACUGCUCCCAUCUUUGGGACUGGAUAAAGGGGGAGUCAGUUGGCAGUGUUGUCAGCAAACACUCAAACUGGUUGUGGCUGUGGAUCAUGGCAGUGGUUUGAAACCUGUCCAGGGGACAGGGGAGGCACUGAACCGUUUGUCCAUAUGUUAAAACUUCUACUUGCAGUGUCACAGAUACAUCACAGUUGCUGGCACAGUUUGCGGAGCUCUCCAGAGGCUCCUUCUGCCAGAAGGGACUUUAAAUCAGAAGUGAGGGGCCUCAAACACCUUCCCGAGGGACUUGCACACCUGGAUGGCAACUAGUGCUAUCACAGGCAGUCCCCUCACAGCCACAAGUGUAGGAAAUGAAGCUGUGAGCUGGAGAGAUGGGUCCUGUACCUGCUAAAUCAACCUGGCCAGCUUUGUCUGAGCCCCUGGUGCUUUCGUAGGGCUUUUUUGGCCUUGGGGCUUCUAACACAGAAAAGGAGGGGGAUUGGUCUGGUGAAGAUGUCCAUGAACACCAGCACUGGCACUAAAUCCAGUGCUCAUGCAAAUCUAGAUGUGGGUCCCACUUUGUAGGUCAAUCCCCAAACACCCAAGUGCUUUGUCCUCCUCCAGGUCUGGCUAUCAUGAUGCAGCUGUCCAGGGAGCUGAAGACACUGGCCAGGGAGUUCAGCCUUGCUGUUGUGGUGACCAACCAGGUGACAAGGGACAGCAGCACUGGCCCACUCAAGCCAGCCCUUGGCCGCUCCUGGAGCUUCGUGCCCAGCACUCGGGUGCUGCUGGAGAGCAAAGAAGCCUCCUGGGACAAAGGCACGACACGGCGCGUGGCUGCCCUGGCGAAGUCACCCCGCCAGCCAACAGGGUUACAGGUGGAGCUGGACAUUGGAAAUGGUGA